UUGUAUGUGAAAGGCAAUGUGAAAUCCUACCUUGACUCCACUAUGCACAGCAAACGUAGUUGCUAUUUCAUAUGCAGCUUUACACAGACACACAGUGAUAAGAUCUGACCUAGCCAUAAUAUUCAGAGUAUUCUGCGAUUGCAUCCAAAGAUCCAUCUCCAAAUAUAUGAAGUUGAACUAAACUUUUCUUUGCUGGAGUGUGAUGCUGAAGGCGAGGAGCUCUGACCCCGGGCAAAAACCUUUUAUUAGAAAGGGAGGUGCUUCAGGGGAAGUCGGCUGGCAUCUCCUUCAUGAAAAAGCAUGCACAAUGCUAAUUACCGCUGCAUUGCUGAUUCACCGGACAUUCAAACAGUAGAUCAUCUUGUGCACAGCUAUGGACAAGCAGUGGUCCAGUGUCUGUUGUUACCGUCACAGUGUUUCAAGGAGCCCUUUGGUUUGCGGCUUGGUAGCCGAUUGACCUACGUAUCACCCAGGUGUACUGAAUCAAACUGCUGGAGAUUUCUCCACUAAUUUUCUACAAUCAAAAUGAUUGCACUGCAGAGAAAGACUAUGAGCAAAUCAUCUACUAAUUCUCUCUUACUUUACUGAUUCAACUGGCAAUCCAUAAAAACAGAGGGGAAAUAUCAGGAGCACAGUGAGGGGUUUACAGAGUGUAUCAGCACUCUAGUCCUGACUCAGUACUUUUGCAUCUGAUCUGUCACAAACUGUAAGGUACUUUACAUUAAUGGCAGAAAGGGAGUUCUUGCUCUGCCAGUGCUGAGUGACUGAAGCGAGGUUCCUAACGGCCACCGUUCUCCAACUAAGAGUGGCUAUACUCGUGAACGUCAAAGGUCCAUCUAGUCAAGCACUAUGUCUCCAAGAGGGAUCCAGAAAGAAUGGUUUAGAAAAGGAGUAACCACAGGGUAAACAUACCCAGCUUCCACAGCUUUACUGCUGAAGGACUUCCUGAACCAGAAGUGUUGUUUUUUAGUGGCCCUCAAUAGAUUUUUCUUGUAUGAAUUUGUCUGGUUGUUUUUUGAACCUGUGUACACUCUAAUAUCCAAAUUGUUCUGCGGCAAGACGUUUCAAAGACGAAUUAUACACUCUGUGAGAAGCAUCUUCCAUCUCUUUGUUUUGAACCUGCUACCUGCCAUUUUACGCCACCUAGUUCUUGAAACACUGAACAAUCAUUCCUUGUUUACCUUCUGUAUUUUAUAGAUAUGAUUUUGUAGACUUGUAUUAUAUCUGUUUUGUUUCUUUCCUAUUAGGCAGAAUGCUGGUCUGCCUUACUGUUCAAUGUCACUGUGUCCCAGCCUAGGCACAGAAGCAAAGCCAGACCGCUUCAGUGAAAGAGAGUUUCUGCUUGCCUACCCUCUUUUCUCAGAUACCAUCUAAGCUCUGUACUUAAAGAAAUCCAGGGUCUGAUGCAUGCUGUAAUGCAUCAGUAGGUGAAUCAUCACAACAGGUGGGUAGAUUGUGAUCCAUAUCACGUUGUAAGAUAAAGUUCUGAUGGAUCCUUUUCUCUUGAGAA
rnacentral:lncRNA from 1 species